UUUCGAUUCAACGCGAUAUAUUUUGCUUGCACUAGCGUACUAUAUACCUGUAUCUCUCUGUUUGUGCCUAAACCAGUUGCGCAUGCCUGCAAUCUUAGUAUUACAGUCUAGUAUGGUUCGGUCUGCCGGUGAGAACGUUAGCAUGCCUUAUGGCUCGCGAUCAUUAUUGAGUAUUUAAUUUGGUUAAUCAAUUUAUAUUCGAUAACCGCAUAUCUCUCGCGUUUUGCUGUUAUAGUUUCAUAAUUUAUUUUUUGCAAGUGACUUCACACACAGAAAUCGUGAUAAUCGAACUAAUUUUCUCUUUCAAUGACCGCCGUUUGCUAUUGUUUAUCAACUAAUAUGGGCAUCGCAAUUGAAGAAAGUGACGCUAAUCGUACGUGAUGUGCGGUACCAUAUUCAGGAGUAAUUUUGGCUGGUUUUAGGGACUUUGCACCUGAGUCUAACACUGUAGAAGGACCAUUCUUGCAUUAGAUUGGAUUUUGUACCUGAGUGUGACACCGCAGAAGGACCAUUCUUGCAUCAGAUUUGAUUUUGCACCUGAGUUUGACACCGUAGAAGGACCAUUCUUGCAUCAGAUUAUAAGGAUUUCGUACCUGAGUCUGACACCGCAGAAGAACUAUUCUUGCAUCAGAUUGGAUUUUGCACCUGAGUCUGACACCGUAGAAGGACCAUUCUUGCAUGAGAAUUUUAGUCGAUCGCGCGCUGUGCUGCGGUUAACACGUGUUUUGGUCGUCAGUCGAUCUGCGUAGCGACUUUUCGCGUGUCUUACUUUAAUUCUGUAAUUGCCUUCAUUGGCCUUUCGUAACAGGCUAAUGUGGCACAACCCCAAUUAAUCAUCGGUUCGGUUCGCUUGUGCGCUUGUUACGUCGGCCGUCGCUAAGUAUUAUUCGGUUGUGGCAUUAUCUACAACCGAGUUGGUCUUUAUGUGCGCCGCGUGCGUGUUUAUCGGCAGUCGUUUAUCUUCUCGCAUAUUGGCAAAACUAGGGUUUAUUAUUAAUUCCUGCUGAUAGACAACGUUGGUGCCCAGUUCUUGAGUAUGGGAGCCAUGGAAUCUGCGAUAUCCAUAAAAGAAGUAUUGGAGAUGCGCACAUUUUAAGUUAAGUCUUUAUUGCUACGUGAUUUGAAAUUCGUCAAUGUUUUUUUUAAUUUGACUGACAAAUGUAUUUUAAAUGUUGUCAAUAAAACACAUUGUAAUGUUAUAAA